rnacentral:rRNA from 1 species
AGCGGCGGACGGGUGAGUAACGCGUGGGUAACCUGGCUCAUACAGGGGGAUAACAGUUGGAAACGGCUGCUAAUACCGCAUAAGCGCACAGUACCGCAUGGUACCGUGUGAAAAACUCCGGUGGUAUGAGAUGGACCCGCGUCUGAUUAGCUAGUUGGUGGGGUAACGGCCUACCAAGGCGACGAUCAGUAGCCGACCUGAGAGGGUGACCGGCCACAUUGGGACUGAGACACGGCCCAA